UGUGCAUUUGCUUUAUUAAUAAUGUUUUACAUGUUGGCAGACUUCAAAUAUAUAGUACAUGUUAGCAGACUAAUAUAUGUACAAUUAUUAAAAUGAUUGCUUUUUAACAGACAGAGGCAAUAAUAGAAAGAGUGUAUGAAGUCACACAACUGGCUAGAGAUUCCAUGGAGAAUACGUCCUACAUUCUGGACGUUAUGACCCCUGAGGUAACCCUCAUUAUUCUCCACAAGACUGAGGGCUUUCACAGGUACCAGGGAGAAAUGGCAUUACAGUCAAACAUUUCUUUGGAGGUGCAAUGUACUAAUCCACCAUGGUUCUAAUUGAACGUCAGCAAGAAUCUUUUCCCAACCCUUUUUGAGGAGAUGGGAUUUCAUAAAUAGGUUUCA